rnacentral:rRNA from 1 species
GAUGAACGCUGGCGGCGUGCCUAAUACAUGCAAGUCGAGCGAACAGACGAGGAGCUUGCUCCUCUGACGUUAGCGGCGGACGGGUGAGUAACACGUGGAUAACCUACCUAUAAGACUGGGAUCACUUCGGGAAACCGGAGCUAAUACCGGAUAAUAUAUUGAACCGCAUGGUUCAAUAGUGAAAGACGGUUUUGCUGUCACUUAUAGAUGGAUCCGCGCCGCAUUAGCUAGUUGGUAAGGUAACGGCUUACCAAGGCAACGAUGCGUAGCCGACCUGAGAGGGUGAUCGGCCACACUGGAACUGAGACACGGUCCAGACUCCUACGGGAGGCAGCAGUAGGGAAUCUUACGCAAUGGGCGAAAGCCUGACGGAGCAACGCCGCGUGAGUGAUGAAGGUCUUCGGAUCGUAAAACUCUGUUAUUAGGGAAGAACAAAUGUGUAAGUAACUAUGCACGUCUUGACGGUACCUAAUCAGAAAGCCACGGCUAACUACGUG